rnacentral:misc_RNA from 1 species
UACAGAGGGUGCAAGCGUUAAUCGGAAUUACUGGGCGCAAAGCGCGCGUAGGCGGCUUGUUAAGCUAGAUGUGAAAGCCCCGGGCUCAACCUGGGAACUGCAUUUAGAACUGGCGAGCUAGAGUACGGCAGAGGAGUGUGGAAUUUCCGGUGUAGCGGUGAAAUGCGUAGAGAUCGGAAGGAACACCAGUGGCGAAGGCGACACUCUGGGCUGAUACUGACGCUGAGGCACGAGAGCGUGGGGAGCGAACAGG